rnacentral:piRNA from 1 species
GUUUGGUGAACACAUGAUGUGGUUUGGUUA